rnacentral:rRNA from 1 species
GAUGAACGCUGGCGGCGUGCCUAACACAUGCAAGUCGAACGAUGAAACCGCCCCCGGGCGGACAUGAAGUGGCGAACGGGUGAGUAACACGUGACCGACCUGCCCCCCGCCCAGGGACAGCCCCCCGAAAGGGGGAUUAAUACCUGGUACUCCGGGAGCGGCGCAUGCCGCCCCCGGGAAAGCUCCGGCGGCGGGGGAUGGGGUCGCGGCCCAUCAGGUAGACGGCGGGGCAGAGGCCCACCGGGCCGACGACGGGUAGCCGGGUUGAGAGACCGACCGGCCACAUUGGGACUGAGAUACGGCCCAGACUCCUACGGGAGGCAGCAGUGGGGAAUUUUGCGCAAUGGGGGCAACCCUGACGCAGCAACGCCGCGUGCGGGACGAAGGCGUCCGCGUCGUAAACCGCUUUCAGCGGGGAACACCAAUCGAGGGUACCCGCAGAAGAAGCCCCGGCUAAAUACGUGCCAGCAGCCGCCGUAAGAC